AUACGUAGGGAGCGAGCGUUGUCCGGAAUUACUGGGCGUAAAGGGCGCGUAGGCGGCGCUUCAAGUCGUCUGUCAAAUGGGAGGGCUUAACCCUUUUUCGCAGACGAAACUGGAGAGCUUGAGAAGCAGAGAGGCAAACAGAAUUCCUGGUUUAGCGGUGAAAUGCGUAGAUAUCAGGAAGAAUACCAGUGGCGAAGGCGGUUUGCUGGCUGCAUACUGACGCUGAAGCGCGAAAGCCAGGGGAGCAAACGGGAUUAGAUACCCCGGUAGUCCUGGCAGUAAACGAUGUAUGCUGGGUGUGAGACUAGCGAUAGUUUCGUGCCGAAGUUAACGCGAUAAGCAUACCGCCUGGGGAGUACGGUCGCAAGAUUGAAACUCAAAGGAAUUGACGGG
rnacentral:rRNA from 1 species